GAACGCCGUAUGAGGUGAAAGUCUCACGUACGGUGUGGAACAGGGGAAAAGACGGAGAUAACAUCAAACUCUUACCUAUUGUUAU
rnacentral:ncRNA from 1 species